AAACAUGCAGUCGAGCGGUAACAGAUCCAGCUUGCUGGAUGCUGACGAGCGGCGGACGGGUGAGUAAUGCAUAGGAAUCUGCCCGAUAGUGGGGGAUAACCUGGGGAAACCCAGGCUAAUACCGCAUACGUCCUACGGGAGAAAGGGGGCUCCGGCUCCCGCUAUGGGAUGAGCCUAUGUCGGAUUAGCUAGUUGGUGAGGUAACGGCUCACCAAGGCCACGAUCCGUAGCUGGUCUGAGAGGAUGAUCAGCCACAUCGGGACUGAGACACGGCCCGAACUCCUACGGGAGGCAGCAGUGGGGAAUAUUGGACAAUGGGGGAAACCCUGAUCCAGCCAUGCCGCGUGUGUGAAGAAGGCCCUCGGGUUGUAAAGCACUUUCAGCGAGGAAGAACGCCUAGCGGUUAAUACCCGCUAGGAAAGACAUCACUCGCAGAAGAAGCACCGGCUAACUCCGUGCCAGCAGCCGCGGUAAUACGGAGGGUGCAAGCGUUAAUCGGAAUUACUGGGCGUAAAGCGCGCGUAGGUGGCUUGAUAAGCCGGUUGUGAAAGCCCCGGGCUCAACCUGGGAACGGCAUCCGGAACUGUCAAGCUAGAGUGCAGGAGAGGAAGGUAGAAUUCCCGGUGUAGCGGUGAAAUGCGUAGAGAUCGGGAGGAAUACCAGUGGCGAAGGCGGCCUUCUGGACUGACACUGACACUGAGGUGCGAAAGCGUGGGUAGCAAACAGGAUUAGAUACCCUGGUAGUCCACGCCGUAAACGAUGUCGACCAGCCGUUGGGUGCCUAGCGCACUUUGUUGGCGAAGUUAACGCGAUAAGUCGACCGCCUGGGGGAGUACGGCCGCAAGGUUAAAACUCAAAUGAAUUGACGGGGGCCCGCACAAGCGGUGGAGCAUGUGGUUUAAUUCGAUGCAACGCGAAGAACCUUACCUACUCUUGACAUCCUGCGAAUUUGGUAGAGAUACCUUAGUGCCUUCGGGAACGCAGAGACAGGUGCUGCAUGGCUGUCGUCAGCUCGUGUUGUGAAAUGGUUGGGUUAAGUCCCGUAACGAGCGCAACCCUUGUCCUUAUUUGCCAGCGCGUAAUGGCGGGAACUCUAAG
rnacentral:rRNA from 1 species